UGGCUAUUCCGAAGGGCAUGCCUGUUUGAGUAUCAUGAACACCUCAACUCUCAUGGCUUGCCGUGAUGAGCUUGGACUUUGGGGGUCUUGCUGGCUUGCGGUCAGCUCCUCUUAAAUAAAUUAGCUUGCCGGUGUUUGGUGGGAUCACAGGUGUGAUAACUAUCUACGCUUGUGGUUUUUCACUGGGCAACCUUCAGCAAUGGAGGUUCACUGGAGCUCAUAAAUGUCUCUCCUCAGCGGGGACAGAUUUUGACCGUUUGAUCUCAAAUCAGGUAGGACUACCCGCUGAACUUAAGCAUAUCAAUAAGCGGAGGA
rnacentral:rRNA from 1 species